AUGUCAGGCAAGAAAAAACAGUAUUCAAAGGAGAAGUUAAACGAGGCAGUUGAGGAAGUAAAGGCAGGAGCAAGCUUAAGAGAAACAGCAAAAAAUUUGGCAUUCCCCACACCACCCUACAGGACUAUAAAAAAAAACAAAUAUGUCCACAACCCUCAUCCUAAUUCGGCCCUGACACCUGGAGAGGAAGAGGCUCUCCUGUCCUUUAUAUUUUGGAUGGCAGACCAUGGCUUCCCAGUGACAAGAUCCCUGGUCAAAGUUCUGGCUGUUGGGAUUAUUAAAGAGAGUGGCAGAACCGAGACAACCACCGUAAACCUGGAGAAGGGGCCAAGUGAUGUGUGGUGGUCCAGGUUUAAGGCCCGCCAUCCAGAAUUGGCCUCAAGGACGGCAGAUUCCCUGGACAGAGCCAGAGUCCAUGGUGCUACACCGGAGGCCAUUGAGGCAUUCUUCAGGCUGUACGAGGCCCUUUAUGAGAAGCAUAACCUGGAGAACAAGCCACAUCUCAUUUAUAAUUGCGAUGAGACUGGAGACAAGCCUCGGUCCAGGGAGAAGGUCCUGUGCCAGACUGGAAGGAAACAUGUUUACCAACAGCAGCAGACAACCAGGGAGCACAUCACUGUCCACUGCUGUGUGAAUGCAGCCGGAGACAGCAUUCCACCCUUCAUAAUUUACCCCGGCUGCCUCCCAAGUAAUGCCUAUAGGCUGGAUGGGCCCCCCAACGCCCUCUAUGGCAUCCAGGAGAAGGGUUACAUGGACUCCGAGCUCUUCCUGAAAUGGCUCCACCAUUUCAUUAGAUAUGCGCCUGAGGAGAGACCACUAAUUUUAAUCAUGGACCAACACGAGACACACGUAUCUAAAGAAGUAAUCAUGUUCUGCAGAGAAAAGAAUAUUGAAAUUCUCUGCCUACCUGCCCACACCACGCACAUACUACAGCCCCUUGAUAUUGCGGUCUUCAACCCACUGAAGACUGCUUUCUCCACCAUGGCUUCCAGGAUGGGUCUGGUGUGUGGGGACAUUGUUGUGGGGAAGAAGCAGUUUUCAGCUCUCUUCAAACAUGUCUAUCCCACUGCUGUCACAGCCCAAAACAUUAAGGCCGGGUUUCACAUUAAGGCUGGCAUUUUUCCUCUGUCCAGGGCUGCUGUGGACACAACCAAGGUAAUUUUGACAUUAAUACAAUGA
ensembl:lncRNA